AAAAAAAAAGAAAAAAAUAAAAAUAAAAGGAAAAAGAAAAGAAAGAAAGAAAGAAAGAAAGAAAAAGAAGAUUCGUGUAAUCUCGUUGAUACGAGAUGGAGCGAAAGCGUCUAGCUCGUUACGAAGUUUAAACCUUUACUAACUUGUGUUGUACGUAACACGUAGAGUACGAAGUCGAGGAAUAACGAAGUAAAAGAUGAAGGAGCAAAAAAAAUAAAAGAAGAAAGAAAAAAUAAGACAAGAAGAAGAUGAAACAAAACAAAAAAAAGAAAAAAUGGAAGGAGAAUAAGAAAGAAAAGAAAUGAAAAGAAAGUAAAUUUCCAAGAGAUAUGGAUAUGGAUUGUGUAUACGUAAUGAUGCACAUCGUUGGUAUACGUAAGACGUUUAACUUUCGCGUUACAAUCGUAACGUGAAAGUUAAAAGGUGAGAAACUAAUUACAAGAGAUUGCUCCCCCCUUCCCCCACUGCCCACGCCUCCUAUGAUAAAUAAAAGUAGAAAUAUCGUGGAUAUAUAAAGCAUGAGAGAAUAGGCGGUUAGCUGAUUCAAUAAUAGCACUAUCUCUCACGAUAUAUUGAAUUUUUGUUAUCGAUUAUAUUUACUCGUAUAUAUGAAUAUACGAUACUAAGUAAACGUUGUUUUUUUUUAUAAAAAUAAACUUUCCCAGUUAUCGCUCAUGUCAGGAUAAACAUUUAGUAACUACGUUGUAUUUAUCGAAAGAAACUCUGUUUUCACUAAAUCAACUCUCCCUUCUCUUCUUCCCUCUUCCCCUUCUCCUUUUCCUUUUCCUUCUUUUUCUUUUCCUUCUCCUCCUCCAAUCCACUUUAUCGGUUUGUGUCAAACUUGCGUCAAUUCUUUUCUUUUUGUUUUAUUUUGUCUCUUUUCUUUUUUUCUUUUUUUUUUUUUUCUUUUUUCUUUUUUCUUAUUUCUGUUUUUUCCUUCCUUUUUUUCUCUUUUCACUUUCGUUAUUAGAACGCAGCCGAUAGUUUCGUUCACGCAAUUAUGUUCGCGUAAUAUCGUAAAGUAAAAUCAAACUAAUUACGACGACGACGACGACGACGACGACGACGACGACGACGACGACGAAGACGAUGGCGACGACGACGACGGCGACGUCGUUGGAAGUGGAGGUGAAAGUGUCUGCUCAAAUAAAGAAGGGUGUUUAAAAAAAAGAAUGGAGUGGUCAUAUAUGAUGUGUGUGUAUGCGUGCGUGUGCGUAUGCGUGUGUGUAUGUGUGUGCUUGUGUGUGUAUGUGUGGCCAAUGGAAACGGAAGUGCAGCUGACAAAGUGUCGCGUGUUGUGUGGAGCAAACGACAACGGUCCUCGUCGUCGCUUGGAUAAGCGCAUUAGUCCCGACUAGCGUAAUUAAAAGUGUUACGUGACAACGACUCGGGAAUCGUCGGUAUCGGUAAGAUCUCACGGAAUCGUGUUUGGAAGUGAGUGAGCGAAACGUGCGCACGUCGAGAACCGGUGAUUGUUUAUGCCACGGGAAAAGGUAAUCGAGUAUAAUUACAUAGUGGCUACUAAAGAGGAAAUUGGUCGUUCCAGCUGUCUCGCGUUAUAAUGCCGCUGGCUGCGUACGUGCUAGCACCGAUAGAAGGAAUCUAAUCGUACUGACCGAACGAUGGAUUAUAAUAAACCGAGAUGAUUGACAUAUUUCAUUUGAGAAACAAAAAAAAAAUAAAGAAAAAGAAAAAUAAAACAAAACUUUUCAUUAGUACUAUUUUACAAAUGAAAAUCGUUAUAUAUAUAUAUAUAUAUAUAUAUAUAUAUAUAUAUAUAUAUAUGUAAUAUAUCCUGAUUUAUUUAGAAAGAAUUGGAAUUUUUACAUGGCCAAGAAAAUAACGAUAAAAAUGUAAAAUGUAUCUUGUAAAUCUAAACCUUGUCCUCUUCGUUAAUAAUUUAUUUAUUUGCAUAUAUGAAAAAAAAACAAAAAAAAAAAAAAAAAAAAAAAAAAAAAAGAAAAUGUAAAAAAGAAAAUUGGCACGUAUAUAUAAUAAUACUCGUAUACGAUCACGUAUAAAAUAUAUAACAUUUACACGUUUUAUUUACAUUAACGUGUAAGAUUCUUUUAAUUAAAGCAAUAACAAUUACGAUUCGUAAAUUCGUAUGAAAUAAUAAUAUUAUUGUUUUAAUCGAAAAAAAAAAGAAAAAAUAAGUAAAAUACACAUACAUAUAUUAUUCAUUAUAAUUAUCUAUCAUAGAAACAAGGAUUUCUUCGUUAACGAUGACAAAUUAAGAUCGCAUUUGUUAUAUAUCAAAGAAUAGAUAUGGAUAUAAUAAUAAUGUAAGCUAUUUAGUAUGUUUCGGACCCUUUAUAAUUAGGUAGGAUAGAUGGAUGAAGGAGACAGUGUAGUAGGGAAUAAUAGCAGAUCGGUGUUGUUGGUGGUGUGGCAUCGACUGGGGCAACCGGUGCGGGGGUACGUUUCCUGUCCAUUUUAAUUGGGUUAUUAACGGGUGCGAGCGUUUCCUGCCUCCUGUGACAAACCCCGUAGAUUCUCUCUCUCUCUCUCUCUCUCUCUCUGUCUAUCUAUUUAUCUAUAUAUCUUUCUCACUCACUCACUCCGUGCCGUUCUCUCGCAGCUGCCACCUCAUCGCACACGUUGCGCUUGUGAGGUAGCAGCGAGUAGUAGUACGGGUCGUGCCGGAAACCAAUCUGUUCCGUUUGUCUUUCGCUACUUCGGCCUUCAUUCUCUCUCUCUCUUUCUCUCUCUCUCUCUCUCUCUCUUUCUCUUUCUCUUUCUCUCUCUGUCUCUCUCUCUCUCUCUUAUCACUCGUCAUAAAUAUGCAUAGUGGCCCUCUUAAAAUUACGUUCACCGGAUAAUAAUAUCGUUCGUGAAAAAUGAAACGAGCUUCUCGAACUAACAAUAAGGCAGACUUACAUACAGACGUGUAUGUAUAUAUGUAUGUAUGUAUGUAUGUAUGUAUGUAUGUAUGUACGUAUGUAUGUAUGUAUGUUAUGUAUAUAUGUAUAUUGAAACCGGUGCACUUUCUUAUUCUAUCUUUCUUCACGGUUAAGUCACGUGUAAGUAGUUAGAUAUUUAUCUGUGUAUUAGAGAGACACGUGUUGCAGAGACAAAAAGAUCAACGUAGAUAAGGGCACAACACGUUUUCUUCGGCUUAUCAUUGAAUUAUCGUAGGAUGUGAUACCAAAAGGAAGAUAUUAUUUAAAAUUCGUGUCAUUAUUUGAAAUUAUAUGAAAUUAUGUGAAAUUAUGUGAAAUUAAUGUAAAUUAAUUAAAGAAGAAAAAAGAAAAAAGAAAAGAAAAAAAAAAAAAAACAAGAAAUAAAAGAAAAGAAAGAAAAAAAAGAUCGGUGUUAUCGCGCAUGCGUCAAGUUUACAAAUGAUUUUUGGUUAAAGAAAAAAAAGAAAAAAAAAAAAAAAAAGAAAAA